CCUACGGGGGGCUGCAGUAAGGAAUAUUGGACAAUGCUCGCAAGAGUGAUCCAGCCAUGCCGCGUGCAGGAAGACGGCCCUAUGGGUUGUAAACUGCUUUUGAACUAGAGAAAACCCCCCUUCGUGAAGGGGGCUGAUAGUAUAGUUAGAAUAAGCAUCGGCUAACUUCGUGCCAGCAGCCGCGGUAAGACGAAGGAUGCAAGCGUUAUCCGGAUUCAUUGGGUUUAAAGGGAGCGUAGGUGGAUUUGUAAGUCAGUGGUGAAAGCCGGCAGCUUAACUGUCGAACUGCCAUUGAUACUGCGGAUCUUGAGUAUGGUUGCUGUGGGGGAAUAUGACAUGUAGAGGUGAAAUUCAUAGAGAUGUCAUAGAACACCGAUUGCGAAGGCAGCUCACAAAGCCAUUACUGACACUGAGGCUCGAAAGUGCGGGGAUCAAACAGGAUUAGAUACCCUAGUAGUCC
rnacentral:rRNA from 1 species